GACGAACGCUGGCGGCGUGCUUAACACAUGCAAGUCGAACGCUGAAGCUCAGCUUUUGUUGGGUGGAUGAGUGGCGAACGGGUGAGUAACACGUGAGUAACCUGCCCCCUUCUUUGGGAUAACGCCCGGAAACGGGUGCUAAUACUGGAUAUUCACUGGUCUUCGCAUGGGGGUUGGUGGAAAGGGUUUUUCUGGUGGGGGAUGGGCUCGCGGCCUAUCAGCUUGUUGGUGGGGUGAUGGCCUGCCAAGGCUUUGACGGGUAGCCGGCCUGAGAGGGUGACCGGUCACAUUGGGACGGAGAUACGGCCCAGACUCCUACGGGAGGCAGCAGUGGGGAAUAUUGCACAAUGGGCGCAAGCCUGAUGCAGCGACGCCGCGUGAGGGAUGGAGGCCUUCGGGUUGUGAACCUCUUUCGCUCAUGGUCAAGCCGCAACAAUGGUUGUGGUGAGGGUAGUGGGUAAAGAAGCGCCGGCUAACUACGUG
rnacentral:rRNA from 1 species